AGCCCCCCAGAAGAAAUUGAGGAGUCCUCCUCCGAGGAUCUGGAUUUGGAGACUUGGCAUUUCUGUAUGGUAUCGGCGCCGCAGCCACGCCCGGAUGACAGGCCUGAGGACCCCCUUCGCAUGGAGUCCUUUGAGUCCUGGGUCACCAUUACCAAUCUAUCGGAUGACGGGAGCAUGGACGGACCAUGGAGCCCGCUGCCCCAGGG